GGUAACGGAAAAAGCUUGCUUUUUUGCUGACGAGUGGCGCACGGGUGCGUAACGCGUAUACAAUCUACCUUUUACAGGGGGAUAGCCUUUAGAAAUGAAGAUUAAUACCCCAUAGUAAGUAAUUUUCGCAUGGAAGAUACUUUAAAGUUUCGGCGGUAAAAGAUGAGUAUGCGUUCUAUUAGCUAGAUGGUGUGGUAACGGCACACCAUGGCGACGAUAGAUAGGGGCCCUGAGAGGGGGAUCCCCCACACUGGUACUGAGACACGGACCAGACUCCUACGGGAGGCAGCAGUGAGGAAUAUUGGACAAUGGGCGAGAGCCUGAUCCAGCCAUGCCGCGUGCAGGAAGACUGCCCUAUGGGUUGUAAACUGCUUUUAUACGGGAAGAAACCCACCUACGUGUAGGUGGCUGACGGUACCGUAAGAAUAAGGAUCGGCUAACUCCGUGCCAGCAGCCGCGGUAAUACGGAGGAUCCAAGCGUUAUCCGGAAUCAUUGGGUUUAAAGGGUCCGUAGGUGGAUAAUUAAGUCAGAGGUGAAAUCCUGCAGCUCAACUGUAGAAUUGCCUUUGAUACUGGUUAUCUUGAAUUAUUGUGAAGUGGUUAGAAUAUGUAGUGUAGCGGUGAAAUGCAUAGAUAUUACAUAGAAUACCAAUUGCGAAGGCAGAUCACUAACAAUAUAUUGACACUGAUGGACGAAAGCGUGGGGAGCGAACAGGAUUAGAUACCCUGGUAGUCCACGCCGUAAACGAUGGUCACUAGCUGUUCGAACUUCCGUUUGAGUGGCUAAACGAAAGUGAUAAGUGACCCACCUGGGGAG
rnacentral:rRNA from 1 species